AUAGAUAUAAACCCCAAAUUCAUGUUUUAAUUUAUUUUUUUCAUUUUCUCCUCUAAGAACAGAACCCUAGCAAAUGUACGACAUUACCUUUCAGCCUAGAACUUGAAGCUAAGUUAAUUUUUAUCAUUAAGCAAGGUUAUCCCAAGAUAAAGUAAGUGGUUCUAACACUGAUUUCUUGUUGAUUGUAGCGAAUCUAAAUUUUCUCGAGCAAGCUUCAAAGUGUAUCAGUUUCUAAGAUUUCCAACAAGCUAAGGUAUGUUAAAGUUUUCCCCCUACCUUCUUCCAUGAGCUCUUAUGAGUAUUCUGGUUAUAUUCAACGUGUAGGACUCACGAGGCGGUGAUCAAAAGUCAUGAGUCCAAAUAUUGUUAGUUGUGUAUGGUAGAUGGGAUUAUUUUGUAUGAUAUGAAGCUCAGGAAGUAUUUUAAAUCUCGUAAAAAAAAUUGACAUGGUAGUUAAGGCAGACAGAAGGGUGUGGAGACACACCAUUAAAUUGAUUGUCUCCGGAGCUUGCCGCUCUUCGAAUGUAUGUUGAAUUUCUUAUAUAGCUGAAGGUUGUUGUGAAUUUGUUAAUAUUAGUUUUCUUCUCUAUCGAUUCAUGUAGAUAAAGAUUAUAAUGAAAGGGCUGAUUCUUUGUAGUUAUUCUAAGAAUUCAGAAUCGAGGUAUGUAAGGCUAAAUCCCUUUCUUUCUGCUAUGACAUGGCCUUAGAAUUAUAUGUUUCUUAUUUACGAUUUUGUGAGGCCCUAGAGUAUGUAUCAUAUUGAAAUAUCCAUGUUAUUCUUCUAUGAAAAUGAGCUUUCAAAUGUUAUUGUGCUCCAAUCAUUGUCGAGACUUCACAAAGAGUAUGAUCCUAUUGUGUCAAACCCUUUUUAGAGAUUAUGCUCCUAUCAUUGAUGAGUUACCAUAGAUAUCAUGUUCUUGAUUGUUGUUGAGCCUUCCAGAUUUUCUCAAAUUGAUUGUAGUUAUUCUUUUGAGAUGCCUAGUUGAAUAUUACAUAAGUAAGGCCUGUUUCAAAUGGUUGUUCUCCUAAUGAGCCUUAUAUGCAGCAUAACAUCCAAAGUUAUAAGAUGAUAAAAUGUUUUAAGUAGAUUACGCUCUCAUGUUCUCGUGGUCCAUUGAUGUUGUGUGAGGCCUAAGGCCCUUCUGGUCGUGUUAUGUACAUCCUUUGUCACCCUAAUAAAUUAUUAAUGUCGUGUGAGGCAUGAAGCUCGUGUUGUCAUGUUAUGUACACACUUUGUUACUCAUAUAAUUCACAGAUGUCGUGUGAGGCACGAGGCCCGUAUGGUCGUGUUAUUAUACACCAUGAUAUAUCAUUCCCAUGGAAUAAAGGAAAUAAGUGAAUAUAACCAUAUUCAAGUAUGAUAAAGAACAACGAUUCCAGAACAUCAUCACAUGGCAAUCCAAAGAAUAAUUAUAAUAACCCAAAAGAAGUUACAUCAUGACUUAAGCAUAGUAAGACUAUAUGUUUGUCUCUUAGUUUCUCAAAUGUCUUAUGUACAACAUAUUUUAUGCUUUUAUCUCUUAUUCUUCUUUUUUAUCUUAUGUUAUUUAGCCUGCCUUAUUAUACGAGUUCUAUUGCAUAUUACUCAUGUCCCUUUUUGCUAGGGGCACUACAUUCACCUUGCAGGUAUAGAGGCCCAAAGUGGCAGACCCUCCAGAUAGGAAUCAGUUGUAUUAUUCACCUGCUGUAGUGAGCCCCACUUACUUCUGGGGAAAAGUCUUGACUUUUGUUAUUAUGUGUAGUAGUUUUGGGUAAGUCGCGGUCCUAUCCGGUCACUUUUAUGGUUUAAUUAAUCCUACAGGCUUCAUUGACAUAUGUUGAUACUUUCAAAUAUUUACUGAUGUCUUGUUUUAGUCUUUAGUUGGGUUGUUUUGGUAUUUUAUACUCAGAACCUCAGUUUCUGUUAUAUACAGAUAAUUUAUUUUAAUAGCAUUUUUUUUGUUAAACUGCAAAAAUUUUAGUUAACCAAGUAACUCAAUAUUUACAAGAUGACUCGCCUGGACUAUGGAGUCAUUCCUUGAUUACAAUUUGACUACUAUUUUCACUAAGUAACCACUAGUUUCAAUUAGUCUCUAAACAUGGUAGCUAUUGAACUAUUAUAAUUGUUUCCUCCACUUGUGGUUCUUCUACCCUGUCAUAUGUAGCUACAAUAUGAACUUUUUGCCCAAAUAUGAUAUACUCUUGCUGCGAACAGAAAUCCCAGUGUACCUUCCCUUGGUCUACUAUUUUUUACCUUCAUGGAGUGUUAGAGUAUCUGGUCAUCCCAGUUGCCAAUUGGUUUUGUUGUGCCUGUCCAGUUUAAGAUAGUCUUCCACAUGUUUUUCUAGUAGGGGAAAGAGAAGAACAGGUGUUAUGUAUCUUCUAUAGAGUCAGUACCACAGAGUACACGUCCCUGAGAGACCUGCAUACCCCAACUACUUAAUCUGAUCCAACAGUUACUCUAGAUCAAUGUGAGUAUUAUGAUUCUUACAGGUUGGUUCGUUUGGUCAAGUUAAGGCAUGAGGUGUCGAUCUGUCUUACCAAGGUGCGAGGCAUGUCAAACUUGGUAUCAAAGCAAGCAUGUUUCCCAAGGAGUCUAUGAAGUCGUGUCUAGUACACUACUACUUAUGGGUGUGUUGUGAAUCAUAGUUAUAAUUGGGAGGCUACAAGGAAUUCGAAAAAUGUUAACCUUCUUUCGUACUCUAGAUCGUGCAAUAGAGUUGAGUAUUAAGAACUUGAUUCUGACUCAUGCCUUGUUAUAUGUUCUACAAAAUAUGCCUAUAAAAAGACAGAGGAAAGUCAGCCAAAGGUCUAGUAAGGCUCCAAAAGCAGAUACCAGUGGGUUGCCACCUACUAAUUCUAGAUAAACUAUGUCUCAGGAUAGUCCACCUAAUUAGGCACGCCCAGUCCUACAACCGUUGGGGCUAGAAGAUCAUAGAUAAGUUCCUUUACCUCAUGUUCUACUACCUAGUUCUACCAAUCAGAAUAUCAAAGAUAUCGUUCAAUUGCUUACUCAGUUGGUAGUUGCUUAGUCAUAGCGGUAGGCAAAAGCAUUUUCCAAGUGCUCGUCCAUCAGAAGGGUCAACCGGUUCUAGAGUUCGGCAUUUUCUUCACAUGGGUCCUCCAAAAUUUAAAAGAUCUAGUCCGAAUGAACACAAGAAUUUUAUUGAUGAAAUUCACAUAACACUUAAAGUCAUGCAUGCUUUUGAGAUAGAGGUUAUUGAAUUGGAUUCUUAUUAAUUGACAGAUGUUACAGUGACUUUGUAUGCAACAUGGGAAGAUUCUAGAGGGUCGAAUGCACCUUCAGCAUUGUGGAAAAAGUUUACUAAGGCCUUCUGGAUCAUUUUCUGCCAAUGAUUAUUAGAGAGGCUAAGGCUGGCAUGUUUGUAGCACUCAGAUAGAAUGAUACGAGCAUGAGGGAUUAUAGACUUAAAUUUACUUCUUUGGCAAGGUAGCCCCGGAGUUAGUUGCUACUAUGCGAGCAAGGGUUCAUAGAUUCUUGAUUAGAGUUAGGCCCCAUCUAAUCAAUAGGUUCUCUACAACUUCAUUAAGAAAAUAUAUGGAUAUCUCUAGGAUGAUGGCCUUUGUGCAAAAGAUAGAGGAGCAUAAGUAGAAGCUCUGGCCCAUCAAAUAAAGAGACUAUAGUAAAAGGUCCAAGUUAGUUGGUAGUUAGGGAAGAGCUCAAGGUAGUAGUGGAACAUUCCCAAUAGGAGAUCAGCAGGGCCUUCACAGUCAGUAUUUCAUUUGUCGCAAUUGUACCACCUUAGUAUUCAAGGCCUAGGAAUGUUCAGGGCUGCCAGUCCCAAUCAGUACAAGGUUAGAGUUCUAUAGUGCCAAACUCGCACAUUCAAGAUAGCAAGAGUCUAGGCAUACCACCUUAGUCUCAUUGUAGACAGUGCAAGGAAAUGCAUCUAAGGCCAUGCCAAUAUGGAUCAAAUGCAUGUUAUUGGUUUUGUGUGGUUGGCCAUAUUAUAAGGAAUUUCCAAAAUCCUGAAUGGAGAUGAAUGAUGGUAGAGCUCGGCCUACAGGGAUAGUAGCAUCCUCAGCAGCACCAUCCACAUCUUGUGGCAUUCACGCACCUACAACUAAGGAAGAGGUAGGGGUGAAGAGUCUAGUUCAGGCUGUGGUUAGAACUACAUAUAUGCACUAGGAAGAGGCAUGAUAUGAUUCAUAUUCAUCACUCGAUGUGGUUACUUUUAAAUUAUCUAUAUCCUGUCAUGAUGUAUAUGCACUAAUAUACAGGGUCUACCUUAUCAUAUAAUACUCCAUUUGUUGCUGGAAAUUUUGGGGUAUAGCCAGAAUAGUUAGGUAAGUCGGUUUUUGUAUCAACUCUGGCUAGUAAUUCAGUUAUAGCCACAUGGGUUUAUCGGGGUUGUACUAUUGUGAUAUGUCAUUGUGGCACGAAAAGAAACCUAAUUGAGUUAGAAAUUGUUGAUUCGAUGUCAUUAUGGAUAUGGAUUAGCUAUCAUCUUAUUAUGCUACGCUCAAUUAUUAGGCCAAGAUCAUUAUAUUCUAUUUUUUGAUGGAGCCAGUCCUGGAAUAUAAUGAUGAUUUUAUGGCACCUAAGGGUAGGUUGAUUUCCUAACUUAAGGUGAGGAUGUUUGAUUUUUAAAGGGUGUUUAUAUCACCAUGUCCGAGUAAAGGACAUUGAUGUUGAUGAAAAGGCAUCGAUUCUUCAAUAUGUGCCAGUGGUGAAUGAAUAUCCAAAAAUAUUCCCUAAGGAACUUCUUAGUAUCCCAUCAAAUAGAGAGAUAGAUUUGGUAUCAAUGUGCUUCUAGGUACCCAACCAAUAUAUGUUCCUCCAUACAUAAUGGCCUCAACAAAAUUGAAAGAAUUGAAUGUGCAGUUGAAAGAUCUACUUAUUACUCGCACAGGUUUGUAGUGAUUGUCUUGUCAUAGCCUCGUCACUACUUCGUCAAGGUAAGGCUUGAUACUUAAUGAGUACAUUGAGUCUGUUGUACUCAUACUACACUUCUUCCCUUCUUGUGCAGAUCCUGGUGUUGGUCCUAGUGGCGUUCAGAUAUGAUUACUCGAACAUCUUCUAGGAGACUUGAGGUAGUGUUGCUUGGCAUUUGCAGUCCCUAGAGUCCCCUUCUUAUCUUUUCUGUUGUUAAUUUUGUAUCAGACACUGUUGUGUUUUUUUCAAACUUUAUAUAUAGUAUUUUAGUAGCUCGUGUACUUGUGACACCAAAUUCAGAGAAUAGUCAUAGACAGAG
rnacentral:lncRNA from 1 species